GAAGGGCAGAGGCUUUAUUAAUUGCUGCGUAUGGCAAAGACCAAAACAAAAGCCAUGAACAUACUGAGACCAUCAUUGACAAAUUGGAAACCUGAAAAUUUCCGAAUUUAUCAGCUUCUUUCGCCCCUUCCGUUGACUUGACUGCAUCCAAUUGUAACGGUACCAAUUACUAUGGUAUACUAUUCUAGUUUUUAUGUAUUCCCAAGUUUAUUUGCAAUGUAUUUGGAAUUUAUCUUUAUGAUAUAGUCAGAGUUAGAGACUUCAAGUUUGAAGUAUGAGAAUGUAGCAACAUUAAUAUCUUUAAAGGAAAAAUGUUGUUGCUCAUGUAGUCUUGCAUCUUUUGAUAUAUUGUUUGUCCAUAAGCUGUUUGAGUUUCUUGGGAAGCCUUUACAUUGUUCAACAUGAGUGUCCUCUUUCAAUUCAUCCUUUAACAUCUUGAA
rnacentral:lncRNA from 1 species